rnacentral:lncRNA from 1 species
UCCGCAAAUCUCUCCGGAUGAUCGGGUGUCAGAUCGGAAAAUCGAAAGCGGGGAUCGUCGUCAGCGCGUCGUUGUGAGUCCGAUGGUGUGUUCAGAUCGUCGAUCGGACUCCGGCGGCCGGAGGCGAGUCGACCGAGCGAUCGAGCGUCUCGGUAAUUUUCUCUGGCCGUUGAUCUUAGAAAUCCUUGAUUUUAAAUUUGUGUUUAUUGGGUUAUAUUGAGUAUUUGAUGAUAUUUGUGAGUCAUAAAUAAUUGUUUGUCAGUUUGCCUGCCAUAGUCGUGUUUUUGUGCUGUGUGGCGGAGUUGGGAAAUAGUGAAGUUUGGGGACCCGACUCCCGUUGUUUAAAUUGUUGGACAUUUGGAGUGUUUUUCUGGCAGGUCCUGGACCCGUUUUUACGGGGGGUAAUGUUCGUGUUGUAGGGGAGGUUCUGCCGAAUUUUCAGUAGUUCCUGAGUCGAGAUUCUUAGACAGUCAGUCCUAGGAAUCUAGACCUAGGAUCUAUUGUAAUUGUUUCAUCGUUUUGAUAAAUUGUUUUCCGUGACUAGAUUGUCAGUUCGUUCGGCUCGCUCCUACCGAGGCACCGGAGCAGAGCUAGGAGGUCGCCAAACCUGUGAGUUAAAGUCAUUUAAUCAUUGCACUAUUGCUAAGUCUGAUUUUAAUAUGCUAUUUUGGAAGUUUAUGUUUAACAUGGUUACUAAUAUCUCAACGUAAUUAAUUUUACUGGAUUAUUAAUUAUUGAAGAUAAUAUAAAUAUUAUUAUUAGUAAUGUUAUAAUAAUAUCAAAUAUUAUCAGUUUUCCACAUGAGUUGCAUGAUGUCUUACUUUAAAAUUGUUAAUCGUUAUUUUGAUAUAGUUGAAUGACUUCUUUAGACAAUAAUAUUUAUUAAAUGUGGUGAUUGCGAUUUGGGAAACGUGGCUUGUAGAACAUGUCGCCUGAUGGGUUACAUCAGGACCGCGUGCGCACCGGUAAUGAUCAUGGACAUGUAAUAAGAUAUUUAUGGGUUUGCCCUGGUCGAGCAUGGCUCUCUGGGCUGAUUUGAGUAAAUUGCCGGAGGUAAGGUCCCUGGUCGAGCAUUGCUCUCUGGGCGCCGGCUUAUUUGGAAUUCAAGUGAUCAGACUGGAGGUAAGGUCCAUGGUCGAGCAUUGCUCUCUGGGCGCCAGUCUUAUUGGAUUAAGAGAGCCAAAAUGGCUGUUAGAAUUUGGGGUUAGGGUUCUACUGAGCCACUCGUCCCGUAAAAGUAAAAAUAUAUUUUUAUUUAUUCAUUUAUUUAUUUAAUAUGGUAUGAUUAUAAUAUGGAUUGUAUUUACGUGCAUGGUUGAUAUAUUGAUUCGAAUGAUUAAUAUUUUCUGUGAAGAAAGUAAUAGGGUAUGAUUAUAGUAUGAUUUGUAUUUACGAGCAUGGUUUGAUAUACUGAUUUGAAUAAUCUAUGUUUUCUGAGAAGAAUGCAAUAGUCCCCAGAUUAUUUAAUUUUAACUCACUCUCGAGACUGACAGUCUCAUUUUUACUGUUUUUCAGAUUUGUGACUGUUAGUUCUCCCGCGACUCUUAUUCAGUAACCC